UUGCGUCUGAAAUAUGCAAUUUACUUAAAAAUGGUAUAAACAUAAGUGGAAAGAUAUUUCAAAUCAAAAUCAGAGCGUUCAUAUGUGAUUCACCCGCAAAGGCAUUUUUAUGUCAGACUAUGGGACAUAAUGCAUUAGAAGGUUGUACUAGAUGUUGCCAGCAAGGAGAACGCAUAAACAACAGAACAGUUUACAGCACAUCAAAGGCAUUACCACGCACUGACGAAGGUUUUUCAUUACGAACAAGUGAAAUUUGCCAAAAGCCAACGAACAUUUUAGAGCAAAUAAAAAACAAAGAUCAAAACUCUGAACUUAUUAGGAAAAAUAAAUUUAGUGGUUCAAAAAUUAAUAGAUUUGGUGACAUUACAUCUUUUGUUUCUAAUUGUAUCACUCUAAAAGCCAAACCACCUGACAAUAUUUGUUUUGCUAAUGAUAGUCCUUUCCAAAUUUUUCGAUUUUCGAAUGAAGAAAAUGAGGUUUUCAUUAUAGGCAGAAGGUUUACAAAUUGUAAAGCAUAUUUCGAAAAACCUUUGAAUUCGCUAACAGAUUUAGGAAUUUUUACUGCGAACAAAACUCCCACUGCAAACGAAGAAACGUUUAAUAUAAAGCAGGUUAACUACAAACUUUUUUACUUUCCAAUUAAUGCCAACGAAUAUUUAUUCAUUCUUAUACUGCAUUCAAUUUAAGUAAAUGUCGAUACACAAAGAUGUCACAAAACUUAUUUACUUCAACUCCGGUAUUCAGAUGCAAUGCUACAUUAAGCGAUGAAAACAUUAGUCCAGUUCCGGAAAAUACUCAAAAUGAACUAAAUAAAAUCAAGCAAAAAAUAGACGAACUUAUAACAAAAUUGGAUGGAGCUGGCAAAAUCUAUUGCAACCUUAAUAAGCAGCCAGGCACAGAACAAUUCGAUGAUGAAGCAAGUGCUUAAUAAAGUGGAGAAGAAAACAAGAUUCCCAGUUUGCGACGUAAUGCAACUCACGGAAAUUGAAGAUGAUGUUUCCAAAAAUAAAGAUAUAUACGUGUCUAUUAUAAAAAACAUUAUUGGAUCAAUUGGAGUUACAAACGGAAUGAAAAAAAUUCUCAGCGAUAGCUUCAUGGUGCAGUUAAAUUAUGAUGGACUGCAA